rnacentral:ncRNA from 1 species
ACUAAUUGACCCAAAACUUUUUGAUCAACGGACCGAGUUACCCUAGGGAUCAUAGCACAAUCCUAUUUUAAAGUCCAUAUUGACAAUAGGGUUUAUGACCUCGAUGUUGUAUCAGGACAUCCUAAUGGUGCAGUAUUAAGGGUUCGUUUGUUCAACGUUUAAUAGUCCUACAUGAUCUGAGUUCAGACCAGAGCAAUCCUGUCGGUUUCUAU